GGAGCGAAUCCCAAAAAGACCGGUCUAAGUUCGGAUUGCAGGCUGCAACCCGCCUGCAUGAAGUCGGAAUCGCUAGUAAUCGCGAGUCAGCAUAUCGCGGUGAAUACGUUCCCGGGUCUUGUACACACCGCCCGUCACACCAUGGGAGUUGGCAACACCCGAAGUCGAUGAGCUAACCGCAAGGAGGCAGUCGCCUAAGGUGGGGUUGAUAACUGGGGUGAAGUCGUAACAAGGUAGC
rnacentral:rRNA from 1 species